UACACAUGCAAGUCGAGCGAGAAAGUCCCUUCGGGGGCGAGUAGAGCGGCGGACGGGUGAGUAAUACGUGGGUAAUCUACCCUCGAGCCUGGAAUAACUCCGCGAAAGCGGGGCUAAUACCGGAUAAGACCACACGACACAUGUCGCGGGGUAGAAGGUGGCUUGUAUUCGUACAUGCUAUCACUUGAGGAUGAGCCCAUGGCCUAUCAGCUUGUUGGUGAGGUAAGAGCUUACCAAGGCUAUGACGGGUAGCCGGCCUGAGAGGGUGUACGGCCACACUGGGACUGAGAUACGGCCCAGACUCCUACGGGAGGCAGCAGCUAAGAAUAUUCCGCAGUGGACGAAAGUCUGACGGAGCGACGCCGCGUGGAUGAAGAAGGCCGAGAGGUUGUAAAGUUCUUUUGCUAGGGGAGAAUAAGUGAGGGAGGGAAUGCCCUCAUGAUGACAAGGACUAUCGAAUAAGCCCCGGCCUACUACGUGCCAGCAGCCGCUGUAACACUUAGGCGGCGAGCGUUGUUCGGAAUUACUGGGC
rnacentral:rRNA from 1 species